rnacentral:rRNA from 1 species
AACGAACGCUGGCGGCAGGCCUAACACAUGCAAGUCGAGCGAGGACUUCGGUCCUAGCGGCGGACGGGUGAGUAACGCGUGGGAACGUGCCCUUUGCUACGGAAUAGCCCCGGGAAACUGGGAGUAAUACCGUAUGUGCUCGAGAGAGGAAAGAUUUAUCGGCAAAGGAUCGGCCCGCGUUGGAUUAGGUAGUUGGUGGGGUAAUGGCCUACCAAGCCGACGAUCCAUAGCUGGUUUGAGAGGAUGAUCAGCCACACUGGGACUGAGACACGGCCCAGACUCCUACGGGAGGCAGCAGUGGGGAAUCUUAGACAAUGGGCGCAAGCCUGAUCUAGCCAUGCCGCGUGAGCGAUGAAGGCCUUAGGGUUGUAAAGCUCUUUCAGGUGGGAAGAUAAUGACUGUACCACCAGAAGAAGCCCCGGCUAACUCCGUGCCAGCAGCCGCCGUAACAC